rnacentral:tRNA from 1 species
GGUAUAGCUCAGAGACAGAGCAUGUGCUUAACAUGCACAAGACCGUGAGUUUGAUUCUCAGCACCA